UUCACCCUGCAUUUACACGUGCUGUAAUUAGCGGCCGCUCAAAAACGUCAGGACCCAUUAUUAACGAUCAUUCUCGCCACAUUCGGAGCACGGUUAUAAUUCUGGGACUUUGGGGCCCCUCAACGUUAGUGAAUUGCUAAGAUCAUAACAGCGUAAAGAUAAAACGCUGUUCCGAGACAGAAGAAAACUCGACGAAAGUGAUUUGCAUUUCAAAGUAACACUAAUCUACAUUGACGCCUGUUUGUUACCUGGACAUGGAAUACUAACUAUGGCGAAUGUGGGCCAUGAAGGUUUGGGACUAGCUGGUCUUUUCAUGUUAGUCACAUUGAAAUGCCCUUAUAUAUUGAUCACAUGAGUUUAAAACGAAACUUGCUUCGACGGGCGAAAAUGUGACUCCACUUUCACCUGAUCGGUACUACUCCUGAGCACCAUCUGAAGCUGCAGCAUUUGGACAAUACAAAAAUAGAAGCGUUUUCUCUGAGCUGAGACUCAGCACGUAGACUGAUCAAAUUAAUUCAACUAGAAGUCGGACUGUAGCAAUUGUUGAUAUUGCACUGUUUUCAGGCCAAUCUCUUCCGAAUGGAGACAAUUCCAGCAGUUAUUAAAGAGAAAUAAAUAAUCCUCAAUCAUCUGUUGAAAGCGGACGUUGAAUCAGGAAGAAUGUUCUAUUUUAAUUGGCCGACAUAGUUAGUUGAAAAUGGCGACCAUCUGCAGCUUGUUGCACAUAAACAAAGAAAAUUAAGUAUAUGUCCAUAUGCAGCCAAUUAUUAAAUAUAAUUUGCAGAGUGUCAAAGUAAUGACCUGAUGUCUGGCUGAAAUUAUUGCACUGACAUUCUUAACUACCAUGAAGUUUAAAUUAUAAUUUCAUUUCGUUUAUAGUGCAACUCUGUAAAUGUCUUUUUUCUUAUGACUUGGUGGCAAAGUGCAUUAAAACAUUACUGUUUCACGUCUGUGAGCUGGUUUGUAAUUCAAUCCAGACAGAAAUUAGAUUUGUUCUUUUUUCCUGUGGAAUCUAGUGCAUAGCUGAUUGGGAUACAAGUCUUUCAUUUCAGGAGCUUACAUUCAGUACAGACCCAAAAUUGAGAAUCUUUCACCCCUUUGCUUAAAGGGCUUGGCAGUGUACUGUAUUAGAGCACUGUCCUCUGGGCACAUUUCAAAUAGCAGAUGAAAAAGAAAAAGGUUUUUUUUCCACAAUGAAGGUAAUGAUGAUACCAUUAUUUUGUAACUAGAGCCACCCUGACUUCAGAACUGCGGAUAGAGUCCAGAAUAAACUGAAGAGAGAAUGAAUGUUUUCUUUCUCUGAAGGAAAAAUAAAACAUUACAUCUGAAGAGUUUUAUCACAGAUCUGUGAAAUGAGUUUGCUAAGGCUCAAUCCAGUUCCAAGUUGGCCUGUGUCCAGAGUAAUACUCACAUUUGGAAUUUGUAAGCAUUUAUGAAAAUAAAGACAGAACAUUAUAUAGAUAUAUCUGCUACACAUUUUUUGUUUAUGUAAGCAAACUUUGUUUUUGAGUUA